rnacentral:rRNA from 1 species
UUAACCGUGCAAAGGUAGCGCAAUCACUUGUCCUUUAAAUGAAGACCUGAUGAAUGGCAUAACGAGGGCUUAACUGUCUCCUUUUUCAAGUCAAUGAAAUUGAUCUCCCCGUGCAGAAGCGGGGAUAAAUACAUAAGACGAGAAGACCCUAUGGAGCUUUAGACACCAAGACAUACUAUGUUAAGCACCCCCAUUUAAAGGACUAAACUAAAUAAACCAUGUCCCUGUCUUUGGUUGGGGCGACCGCGGGGAAAUAAAAAACCCCCACGUGGAGCGGCACUUAACCCUCCCACAACCAAGAGCUACAGCUCUAGUGAACAGAAUUUCUGACCAUAAAGAUCCGGCAAAGCCGAUCAACGGACCGAUACCCUAGGGAUAACAGCGCAAUCCCCUUUUAGAGCCCAUAUCGACAAGGGGGUUUACGACCUCGAUGUUGGAUCAGGACAUCCUAAUGGUGCASCCGCUAUUAAGGGU